UGCAUGGCGGCAGCUGGGCAAGGGGCACAUUUAAAAACGGACUGGGCUCUUCCUCUGGUUGGCCCUGCCAGGUCCCUGAGGCCCCUCGCGUCUGGCGCCGGCAAAAAGGAGUUGCUCAGGGGCUGGGGCUGGAGCCCCGCUGCUCUUCCGGCACCCUCUCCGAGUCCAAGUGGCGCGUGGGCGCUCCAGGAGAGGAGAUGGCUUAUUCGCAGGUAGCCUCCAGGAAGAGAAGGUAGUGAAAAUAUACCUACAGCUUCUAAGGAAGAUGUUCCCAGUGUCCCCACCCAUCAGAAAGGAGUGCUGCCAACUCCAAGCUGUGUUUUAAUUCUACAGUUUAAUUCGGGCUGGUCACCAACAUAGAUUUUUCACCCAUGUCAACCCAAUGGAGCUGAUACAG